UAUAUUGAAACACUGGUUCUCAUAUGAUCACCAAAGUUAAACAAUGUUGUGCCUGGUCAGCACUUAGAUGAGUGAUUACUUGGGAAUACCAGUUACUGUAA